CCCCUCUCAGGUUUGCACCUGGAGAGUUUACAGUAGUCUACCAGUCUCAGCUACAGGAGGGAGAGUCAAGCAGAGGCUUACCCAUCCCAUUCCUAGCUUGGGCAGUGGCUAGCGAGUGGAAGACAAACUGCCACAAGU